rnacentral:rRNA from 1 species
GACGAACGCUGGCGGCGUGCCUAAUACAUGCAAGUAGAACGCUGAAGAGAGGAGCUUGCUCUUCUUGGAUGAGUUGCGAACGGGUGAGUAACGCGUAGGUAACCUGCCUGGUAGCGGGGGAUAACUAUUGGAAACGAUAGCUAAUACCGCAUAGAAUGGAUUAUCGCAUGAUAAUCCAUUGAAAGGUGCAAAUGCAUCACUACCAGAUGGACCUGCGUUGUAUUAGCUAGUUGGUGGGGUAACGGCUCACCAAGGCGACGAUACAUAGCCGACCUGAGAGGGUGAUCGGCCACACUGGGACUGAGACACGGCCCAGACUCCUACGGGAGGAAGCAGUAGGGAAUCUUCGGCAAUAGACGGAAGUCUGACCGAGCAACGCCGCGUGAGUGAAGAAGGUUUUCGGAUCGUAAAGAUCUGUUGUAAGAGAAGAACGAGUGUGAGAGUGGAAAGUUCACACUGUGACGGUAUCUUACCAGAAAGGGACGGCUAACUACGUG